GCAAGUCGAGCGCACGCUUCGGAGUGAGCGGCGGACGGGUUAGUAACGCGUGGGAAUAUACCCUUUACUACGGAAUAGCCUUUGGAAACGAAGAGUAAUACCGUAUACGCCCUUCGGGGGAAAGAUUUAUCGGUAAAGGAUUAGCCCGCGUUGGAUUAGAUAGUUGGUGAGGUAAUGGCCCACCAAGUCUACGAUCAAUAGCUGGUUUGAGAGGAUGAUC
rnacentral:rRNA from 1 species